AGAAACCACCAGUAAAAUCCUGAAAUAACAGUCAAGAACAGGCAUGUCCACCCAGCAACAAUCGUAAUUGCUUCCCAGCAACAAUGCAAAAAGCCGAUGGUUGUGCUGGAGUCAACAGUCUACCGCGGAGAUGGAAGCAGAGCAGAGCACUCUAGUCCCACCUGCAGCACGCUCUCCGCAGCUACCAUGAGAAGUGACGUCAUUACAAACAACCUUUAAACAGUGCUAUAUCUUGGACAGAUGGGUCUCUGAAGCUAUUCACUCUAUGAAAAAAGGACAAUGAUCCAAAACACACCUCCAGGCUGGAGAGUGAUGGAGCGCUACAAUAGAUGACCUGGUUUCCAUAAUCACCCGAACAACCCAAUUUAAAUGGGCCGCAGAGUGAAGGAAAAGUAGCCAACAAGUGCUCAGCAUAUGUGAGAACUCCAAGUUGGAAAAGCAUUCCAGGAGAUUAUCUCAUGAAACUGGUGGAGAGAAUGCCAAGAGUGGGCAAAGCUAUAAUCAAGCCAAAGGAUGGGUACUUUAAAGAAUCUAAAAUAUAAAUGUAUUUUGAUUAGUUAAAAAAAAAAAAAUUACUACAUGAGUCCAUGAGUUUCUACUUCAGGCUCUUCAGAUCGGUUUUGGAAAGAAUGUCAUUUCUAUUAUAGCAAUGUUUAAUAGAGAUAUCAAUAGUUGUAUCAUUUUCUAUCUUAAUACUUCAAAAAUAUUUUAAAAUGUUCUGUUUUGAUUCUGCCCAUCCCUCGCUCAUUUGGAGCACUGCUAAUCUGUUUAAUGUUGUUAUUGCCCUCAUCUGUGUUUCCAAUUACGGUUCCUAUUUAACUUUCUUCCCUCGUGUCUUGUCAUUCAUUGUUUUGAAUUCCAAUGUGAAUUGUUCUAGUUCUGUUACAUUUGAAGUUAUGUUAUUAAAGUCCUCUGUUUUCUCA